rnacentral:rRNA from 1 species
GAACGCUGGCGGCGUGCUUAACACAUGCAAGUCGAACGGAAAGGCCCUGCUUUUGUGGGGUGCUCGAGUGGCGAACGGGUGAGUAACACGUGAGUAACCUGCCCUUGACUUUGGGAUAACUUCAGGAAACUGGGGCUAAUACCGGAUAGGAGCUCCUGCUGCAUGGUGGGGGUUGGAAAGUUUCGGCGGUUGGGGAUGGACUCGCGGCUUAUCAGCUUGUUGGUGGGGUAGUGGCUUACCAAGGCUUUGACGGGUAGCCGGCCUGAGAGGGUGACCGGCCACAUUGGGACUGAGAUACGGCCCAGACUCCUACGGAAGGCAGCAGUGGGGAAUAUUGCACAAUGGGCGGAAGCCUGAUGCAGCAACGCCGCGUGCGGGAUGACGGCCUUCGGGUUGUAAACCGCUUUCGCCUGUGACGAAGCGUGAGUGACGGUAAUGGGUAAAGAAGCACCGGCUAACUACGUG